rnacentral:ncRNA from 12 species
GGGGUAUAGCUCAGUUGGUAGAGUAUCGCUUUUGCACGGCGAUUGUCAGCGGUUCAAAUCCGCUUACCUCC